rnacentral:rRNA from 1 species
AUUGAACGCUGGCGGCAGGCCUAACACAUGCAAGUCGAACGAGUGGCGGACGGGUGAGUAAUGUCGGGGAAAUUGCCUGAUGGAGGGGGUUAACUACUGGAAACGGUAGCAAAUACCGCAUACCAUCGGAUGUGCCCAGCUGGGAUUAGCUAGGAGGGGGGGUAAGGGCUCACCUAGGCGACGAUCCCUAGCUGGUCUGAGAGGAUGACCGGCCACCCUGGAACUGAGACACGGUCCAGACUCCUACGGGAGGCAGCAGUGGGGAAUAUUGCACAAUGGGCGCAAGCCUGAUGCAGCCAGGCCGCGUGUAGUAAGAAGGCCUUCGGGUUGUAAAGUACUUUCAGCGGUGAGGCGGUACCCGCAGAAGAAGCACCGGCUAACUCCGUGCCAGCAGCCGCGGUAAUUC